GACGAACGCUGGCGGCGUGCUUAACACAUGCAAGUCGAGCGGUAAGGCCCUUUCGGGGGUACGACGAGCGGCGAACGGGUGAGUAACACGUGGGUGACCUGCCCUCAGCUCUGGGAUAAGCCUGGGAAACCGGGUCUAAUACUGGAUAUGACUCCAUGACGCAUGUUGUGGGGUGGAAAGCCUUGUGCGGCUGAGGAUGGGCCCGCGGCCUAUCAGCUUGUUGGUGGGGUGAUGGCCUACCAAGGCGACGACGGGUAGCCGGCCUGAGAGGGCGACCGGCCACACUGGGACUGAGACACGGCCCAGACUCCUACGGGAGGCAGCAGUGGGGAAUCUUGCGCAAUGGGCGAAAGCCUGACGCAGCGACGCCGCGUGAGGGAUGACGGCCU
rnacentral:rRNA from 1 species